GAACCCAAGCUUUCGCGGUUCACACGAAAUAGUACGUCGUUCAUCUGGUGAUUUUCACUAAUAAUAAGAGGAUAGGAUCAUCCAAUUAUUUAAUCGUUCGAAGCGCGAGGAAACCAUGCUUCCAUAUAUGGCACAAACGUGUCCCCAACUUCCUUAUAUGGCACAAACGUGUCCCCAAAAUAUUUUAUCGAAGCCGUUAUGAUGUCAUAAGAUUUUUCCCGCUCGGAACGAUUUGAAUAGGUCACGUGGUACAGAACCCAGACAGCUGAUUGGGUUAGCAAGUGACAACGCCCACUUUAAUCCUACCCUCUUAUUAUUAGUGAAAAUCACCGACGUUAAUAUUUCGUCUGAACCGCGAAAGCGUGGGUUCCAAUGUAAAUAAAUAUGGCG